rnacentral:tRNA from 1 species
GCAGUGGUGGUUCAAAGGCAGAAUUCCUGCCUUCCACGCAGAAAACCCAGGUUGGAUUCCCGGCCAGUGCA